UUAUGCCCUGUGAGGAUUCGGAAACCCAGACUCUCAGCUGAAGAAAUGGGCUUCCCAGGGGUCACACAGCCAUUUGCAGAUGUCAGCCCCAUGGGGCACCAAUGACUCACAUCUUCCCUCCAAGCUGAGGUGGGGAUCCCAUGAACGAGACUGACUGGAGCAAGGCCUGCCUCCCAGUGGGACAUUUAGAUAGUGACCCAUAGACGCCUCCACCAGGAAGCCCUCUGGGAAGAAGACGGCCUCUGCGUCCCAGCUCUGUCCAGUGGCCUCCAAGGUCCCCACCCAGCAUCAGCGCUGAGCAUGAGCAGGCAUCGUGUGGGGGGUAAGCCGUUGGCAAGGCCACUUGGCUCUACCUUCAAGACAUACCAGAGCCUAACGCGUCCCGCCGCCUGGUCCCCUCCCGCUGGGACCUGCGCCCACCUCCUCACCGGCCCCUCCUCUGCACACAACCUCUGGAAAACCUUAA